rnacentral:miRNA from 1 species
AAGCAGAUCUGCGUUAAGAUAGAUAAA